rnacentral:tRNA from 1 species
ACCUGGGUGGCUCAGUUGGUUAAGCAUCUGACUUUGGCUCAGGUCGUGAUGUGGCAGUUUGUGGGUUCUAGCCCCACAUCGGGCU